ACAUGCAAGUCGAGCGAGAUCUUCGGAUCUAGCGGCGGACGGGUGAGUAACGCGUGGGAACGUACCCUCUUCUGCGGGAUAGCCACUGGAAACGGUGAGUAAUACCGCAUACGCCCUUCGGGGGAAAGAUUUAUCGGAGGAGGAUCGGCCCGCGUUGGAUUAGGUAGUUGGUGGGGUAAUGGCCUACCAAGCCUACGAUCCAUAGCUGGUUUUAGAGGAUGAUCAGCCACACUGGGACUGAGACACGGCCCAGACUCCUACGGGAGGCAGCAGUGGGGAAUCUUAGACAAUGGGCGCAAGCCUGAUCUAGCCAUGCCGCGUGAGUGACGAAGGCCUUAGGGUCGUAAAGCUCUUUCGCCUGUGAUGAUAAUGACAGUAGCAGGUAAAGAAACCCCGGCUAACUCCGUGCCAGCAGCCGCGGUAAUACGGAGGGGGUUAGCGUUGUUCGGAAUUACUGGGCGUAAAGCGCACGUAGGCGGAUUGGAAAGUAUGGGGUGAAAUCCCAGGGCUCAACCCUGGAACGGCCUCAUAAACUUCCAGUCUGGAGUUCGAGAGAGGUGAGUGGAAUUCCGAGUGUAGAGGUGAAAUUCGUAGAUAUUCGGAGGAACACCAGUGGCGAAGGCGGCUCACUGGCUCGAUACUGACGCUGAGGUGCGAAAGUGUGGGGAGCAAACAGGAUUAGAUACCCUGGUAGUCCACACCGUA
rnacentral:rRNA from 1 species